rnacentral:tRNA from 1 species
UCCUGGGUGGUGCAAAUGGUUAACAUGCUUGGUUGCUAACCAAACGUUGGAGGUUCAAGUCCCCCCAAAGGUG